UAAAUUAAAUCCUUCAUAAAAUGGAAUCUACUAGCUAUUAUUUUCAUAUUCAAAUUCUAGAUAAUUAUUUAUAUAUAAGCAAUUAAGAAAAACUCUUACUAUCUUUCAUUUUUGUUAAGAACGACAUUGAUUCGAAUAAAAUAAUAAUAAAUAAUUAAGCAUGAUAAUAAGAUUUUAAAACAACAAAUAACAAAUAAUAACAAACUAAUCAAAUAAACAUGUACAAGGAAAUAGACUUAUAUAUUAGUUUUACCAAGUUAACUGAAAAUGAAAUUCAGCUUUUCAUUUUCUUACACCAACAAAACUAGGUGAAAAAUUCAAAUGGAAAAACCAAGUGGGAAGUUAUUUCCCACUAUAUAGCUCCUAAUGCAAAGACAAAUUACAAUAAAAAUUAUUGUUUCAUGAUACUUAGAUUUUGUUUGUUUUCUCCAUAUGUGGAUUACUUUCAAGAGCAGUUUUGGCCUCUUUACAGGAUGGAAAUGAGGCACCAUAAAACUUUUGAAGCAAAGAAACGAUGUUUGUUGUGUGUGUGCAUGUGCG
rnacentral:misc_RNA from 1 species